AAUUCUCCCUCUCCUCCGACCUACCGGCGACCAGUGUCCACUGUCCAGAGUCCAGAUUUUGUCUCUUUCAAGUCUCAACCCAUCGGAAAAACAUCACUCAUUCACUCCGAUGAUUUUUCCAUAGCACACAAUGCGUGCGACUCUCACUCUAAUGGGGCUAACGUAAUACCGUUGUUUUGAUGGAUCCCCAAUGUCUCCGGUGAACAUUAGUUGCAAGCACUGAUAAGAAAAGCAUGAAUCAUUUGAGGAGUAUGAGGCGAUCGGGAUAGGAUGGAAAUUCUCAUCAUUUGUGAUGUGAUCUGUCAUGGGAAAAUUCAGAAGCCCAAUGGAGGAUGAAGGCUUAGUUAGCCUACCAGUCAUUGCCUCGGUGAGGUUUUUUCAAAGUUCAUUUUUUUAUAUUAAUUUAGAAGAGAGGUUUUACAAAUAUUUUAUCAUACCUAAGUUGCGAUGUACUAGUGUGACUAACCCUACUUAUAAUUUACAUUUGCACACACUGUGUGCACGUCCAAAUUACAAGUAGCUGCAUACAUGUUAACCAUAAAUAGCUUAGCCACCAUUGUUCCAACUUUUCAAGGAAUGAGAGACAUGAUCUUCUCUUGGGACAAAUCUUCCCUUGUAUUUACUUGGACCAAAGACUACCAACAGAUAUUUCCAUCAUAAGUUUUUGAUUUCAUGAGUUCCUGGUCAGAGUAUUUUCUAGCUGUCAGAACGUGUAGGUAAGGUUUGGAGGGUUGCAGCUAAUUCAACUCCCCAUCUUGCAAACACAUACCUGCCAAAUAUUUUUGAAAUCUCACAUAGCUUGCUCGGCGAGGAUUUCCUUUCUUUUCAACCUCAACCAGAAUUAACAGUCUAACUCAUAUAUUUCAUAAUACAUUAAUAGAAGUAGAUUCAAAUGUGAUCUUCUUGUGUGAUCAUAUGCGAUCAUUUAAUUUUGGCCACAAUAUUAUUUAUCUUGGGAUAUGUGGUUAUUAAUAUGCUGUCUACCUUUUACUAGUGUCUUGAUUCUCUUCUCAUAAUGGAGAAUGUGGGGUCUAAUUGAGCACUCUGAAUGGUAAAAAUACAGUCAUUCAAGGACUUGUUUUGUCCAUGCUGCCUCUGAAUGGCGAGGAUUCACUAACUUUAUGUUUUCAGUACUCAUCCAGGUUGUCUUCCAUUUAGGUUGCAUCAAAAACCUAACAUCACAAUAUUAAUGUCAAAAUGUUCACUGAAAUCAAAAUGGUUCCUAAAAUAUCCAAAUUCACUAUUUGUCAAUAUUUAUAGAAAUUUGAAAAAUACCUUCUUUUUUAAUAUACCCGCCCCAACUCCCAACCUUAAGUCAUCUUAAGUUAUUAUUAUGGUGCCUUUAUGUUUACCACAUAGAUCGAGUGUCCAGAUAGGGUAGAUGAAAUCCUAACACUAUGUUUGAUACCAAAAUUUCCUCUUCUCCUCCGAAACUCUAAGUUAAUAGAUGAACAAGUCAAUGGAUAAUCACUAGUUCAAUAUCAUAACAAUUAACAUAUGAAUAUAUGAUAAAUAUAACAUUAAUUUGCAUGGAAAGGACAUUGGACAAGAAAUAACUUUGAGCAUAAAAAAACAAGCGAUCGAACAAACUCACAAACAUACUUAGGAAAUAAAACACACUAUAUCAAAUGGCGGAAUGCAUGGUGGAUUUUGGCAAUAAAUCAAGCAACAUGCUUAUUUAGUUGGCAGUUGCUUUUGCAAUAUCGCGUUUCACAGCUUGAGAGUAUGUCUUGUGCUGGUAUGUGAGAGUUGAUUCUAACAAAUCCCACAAAGAAGUUUUUGGAUUCCAUCCAAGUUGUUUGUUGAUGAUGGUCAUGUCUGGAAUACGUUUAUCACUGUCAUCAUAACCUUCACCAUAGAAUUCUUGGGCAGUUACAUCAAUAGUUGGAGUGUCCAAUAUCUUCUCUCCUGAUACCUUACCAUAGAUCUUUACCAUCAUUUCUGCAAGUUGUCUAACAGUAACUUCAUUGUUGGGGUUUCCCACAUUAAAGAUAUGACCAUUCGCCCGGUUGGGAUUUUCAAUCAUGAGAAGAACAGCUUCAAUGGCAUCUUUUAUAUAAAUAAAAGUUCUUUGUGACUCCCCACCAUCUACAAGUUUCAAAGGUUCUCCUCGCAAGAGGUUAUCGCUGAAGCAAGCCAAAACUCUUGGAACUCCUUCACCAUCAAUUCCUGGAAUAAAAUCCAUCCUUGGUCCAAUCCAGUUGUAAGGUCUCACAAUAGAGAAUUGAAGGUCAUUUUCGGCACCCUCUCCUGUUAAUUAAUGUUAAAAAAACACAAGGCAUUAAUUAAUUAAUUAAUUAAUUGCAUAAGUCAAAGUGAAACUAAUUAAAAGAUUGGUUGAAGUCUUGAAGAGAGAUAACUAUAAAUACCAUAGAUUAGCCUUUCAAUCAGCUGUUUUGCACAUGCAUAAGACCACCUCUGCUUGUCUAUCGAGCCAAAUAUGCACGGUGAUUCAUUUUCUUUCAAAACAUAAAAUUCAGGAUCUUGUCUCAAAGGGUGAUCCUUGGGAAGAAAGCUUCCAAUUGUCUUCCCGUAAACCUCACAAGUUGAGAAGUGAAUAAGGCGUUUUUUAUUCUCAGUACAGUACUUAACAACGGGAAGCGCAUCGACGAAAUUGCUGUAUAUCGUAUCAAGCGGGCGGGUGUUGUAAUCUGCCGGCGUGCAUAUUGCAGCAAGAUUGAUAG
rnacentral:lncRNA from 1 species